rnacentral:tRNA from 1 species
ACCUGAUUGGCUCAGUGGUUGAGCAUCUGUGUUCUGUUCAGGGUGUGAUCCUGGGAUCCUGGGAUCGAGUCCCACAUCAGGCU